rnacentral:rRNA from 1 species
CCUACGGGAGGCAGCAGUGAGGAAUAUUGGUCAAUGGCCGAGAGGCUGAACCAGCCAAGUCGCAUGAGGGAAGACGGCCCUACGGGUUGUAAACCUCUUUUGUCGGGGAGCAAAGCGAGUCACGUGUGACUCAUUGAGAGUACCCGAAGAAAAAGCACCGGCUAACUCCGUGCCAGCAGCCGCGGUAAUACGGGGGGUGCAAGCGUUGUCCGGAAUCAUUGGGCGUAAAGAGUUCGUAGGCGGCACGUAAAGUCUGGUGUUAAAGGCAGAGGCUCAACUUCUGUACGGCACUGGAUACUUGCGAGCUAGAAUGCGGUAGAGGUAAAGGGAAUUCCUGGUGUAGCGGUGAAAUGCUUAGAUAUCAGGAGGAACAUCGGUGGCGUAAGCGCUUUACUGGGCCGUAAUUGACGCUGAGGAACGAAAGCCAGGGUAGCAAAUGGGAUUAGAUACCCGAGUAGUC